rnacentral:rRNA from 1 species
AUUGAACGCUGGCGGCAGGCCUAACACAUGCAAGUCGAACGAGUGGCGGACGGGUGAGUAAUGUCUGGGAAACUGCCUGAUGGAGGGGGAUAACUACUGGAAACGGUAGCUAAUACCGCAUACCAUCAGAUGUGCCCAGAUGGGAUUAGCUAGUUGGUGGGGUAACGGCUCACCAAGGCGACGAUCCCUAGCUGGUCUGAGAGGAUGACCACCCAACCUGGAACUGAGCCACGGUCCAGACUCUUACGGGAGGCAGCAGUGGGGAAUAUUGCACAAUGGGCGCAGGCCUGAUGCAGCCAUGCCGCGUGUAUGAAGAAGUCCUUCUGGUUGUAAAGUACUUUCAGCGGGGAGGCGUUACCCGCAGAAGAAGCACCGGCUAACUCCGUGCCAGCAGCCGCGGUAUAC